rnacentral:snRNA from 1 species
AGUAUUGUAGCCAAUGAGGUUAAUCCGAGGCACAAUUAUUGCUAAUUGAAAACUUUUCUGAA